AUAAAGGGAAGGAAAAAGUGGUCGAAUAGCCGUUGAAGCCGUCCGACGACAUCCGAGAUUUUGCUCGUUAGCGAUCAGAUUCGGGAUCAUUAAAGUCGAAGUCAUCUACACUAUCAAAGCCUCCAUUUUGGUAUAAUUUUGGUUGAACUUUGAAAUGGCAUGUAUAGGACUACCCUAUUGUUGAAGGUCAUGUACCUUUCGGUUUUGUGUAAGCUUGGAUAGCCAUGCGAAAAUGGCUUAUAUACGUUUUUAGUAUGAUUCUAUAAUCGUUUGUAUGAUGAUCAUUAUGGGGUAUGGAAUUAUUUGAAAAGAUUAGCCAUUGGAAUGGUUAAUCGUGAUCACACUUUGUGCUAUGUAUGCAAAAAGGACCAAUUGAAUCGUGGAAAUCAUGAAAUAGGUAAUGGUUACCUUGAAAA